rnacentral:rRNA from 1 species
CCUACGUGAGGCAGCAGUAGGGAAUCUUCCACAAUGGGCGAAAGCCUGAUGGAGCAACGCCGCGUGGGUGAAGAAGGUCUUCGGAUCGUAAAACCCUGUUGUUAGAGAAGAAAGUGCGUGAGAGUAACUGUUCACGUUUCGACGGUAUCUAACCAGAAAGCCACGGCUAACUACGUGCCAGCAGCCGCAGUAAUACGUAGGUGGCAAGCGUUAUCCGGAUUUAUUGGGCGUAAAGGGAACGCAGGCGGUCUUUUAAGUCUGAUGUGAAAGCCUUCGGCUUAACCGGAGUAGUGCAUUGGAAACUGGGAGACUUGAGUGCAGAAGAGGAGAGUGGAACUCCAUGUGUAGCGGUGAAAUGCGUAGAUAUAUGGAAGAACACCAGUGGCGAAAGCGGCUCUCUGGUCUGUAACUGACGCUGAGGUUCGAAAGCGUGGGUAGCAAACAGGAUUAGAUACCCGAGUAGUC